CUGCCGUAGAAUUUAUGGUCCUGAUACCCGAGUUUCUGAAAGACCUUAUGGACAUGGUAUAUAGUUUUUCUAGUUCUCUUUUAGUUUUUCUUUAUGAUUGGCACCAAAGGGUGCCUUUGCACCAUCUAAUUUUGUUCUGGCACUGAGCUUUAAUUGAUCCUCAUGGAUUUAUGCUCUCACAGCUAUUUUAUUGUACCAUGGAUACAUUCAUGUGUAACCAAUUCAUUUUUUAUGCUCA
rnacentral:lncRNA from 1 species